GAUGAACGCUGGCGGCGUGCCUAAUACAUGCAAGUCGAGCGGCUUGGGGAGCAAUCCCCUUGCAGCGGCGAACGGGUGAGUAACACGUAGGCAACCUGCCUUUGAGACUGGGAUACCCAGGCGAAAGCUUGGCUAAUACCGGAUAACAACGAGGACCGCAUGGUCCCCGCUUGAAAGGUGCUCCAAAGCACCGCUCUUAGAUGGGCCUGCGGCACAUUAGCUAGUUGGUGAGGUAACGGCCCACCAAGGCGAGGAUGUGUAGCCGACCUGAGAGGGUGACCGGCCACAAUGGGACUGAGACACGGGCCCAUACUCCUACGGGAGGCAGCAGGUAGGGAGUUUUUCGG
rnacentral:rRNA from 1 species